UACGUAGGGGGCAAGCGUUGUCCGGAAUCAUUGGGCGUAAAGAGCGUGUAGGCGGUCCGGUAAGUCGGCUGUGAAAGUCCAGGGCUCAACCCUGGGAUGCCGGUCGAUACUGCCGGGCUAGAAUCCGGAAGAGGCGAGUGGAAUUCCUGGUGUAGCGGUGGAAUGCGCAGAUAUCAGGAGGAACACCAACAGCGAAGGCAGCUCGCUGGGACGGUAUUGACGCUAAGGCGCGAAAGCGUGGGGAGCGAACAGG
rnacentral:rRNA from 1 species